rnacentral:rRNA from 1 species
UACGGGGGGAGCAAGCGUUGUUCGGAUUUACUGGGCGUAAAGGGCGCGUAGGCGGUCAGCACAAGUCAGUUGUGAAAUCUCCGGGCUUAACUCGGAAAGGUCAACUGAUACUGUGCGACUAGAGUGCGGAAGGGGCAACUGGAAUUCUCGGUGUAGCGGUGAAAUGCGUAGAUAUCGAGAGGAACACCUGCGGCGAAGGCGGGUUGCUGGGCUGACACUGACGCUGAGGCGCGAAAGCUAGGGGAGCGAACAGG